CAAGAAAUAGUUUAUGUUAAAAUAUUAAUUUUGGAGAUUAAUGAUAAUAGAAAUUACUAUUUUUCUUGA
rnacentral:tRNA from 1 species